rnacentral:rRNA from 1 species
GAUGAACGCUGGCGGCGUGCCUAAUACAUGCCAGUCGAGCGAACAGACGAGGAGCUUGCUCCUCUGACGUUAGCGGCGGACGGGUGAGUAACACGUGGAUAACCUACCUAUAAGACUGGGAUAACUUCGGGAAACCGGAGCUAAUACCGGAUAAUAUAUUGAACCGCAUGGUUCAAUAGUGAAAGACGGUUUUGCUGUCACUUAUAGAUGGAUCCGCGCUGCAUUAGCUAGUUGGUAAGGUAACGGCUUACCAAGGCAACGAUGCGUAGCCGACCUGAGAGGGUGAUCGGCCACACUGGAACUGAGACACGGUCCAGACUCCUACGGGAGGCAGCAGUAGGGAAUCUUCCGCAAUGGGCGAAAGCCUGACGGAGCAACGCCGCGUGAGUGAUGAAGGUCUUCGGAUCGUAAAACUCUGUUAUUAGGGAAGAACAAAUGUGUAAGUAACUAUGCACGUCUUGACGGUACCUAAUCAGAAAGCCACGGCUAACUACGUG